AACGAACGCUGGCGGCAGGCUUAACACAUGCAAGUCGAACGCUCCGCAAGGAGAGUGGCAGACGGGUGAGUAACACGUGGGAACGUACCCUUUACUACGGAACAACUCCGGGAAACUGGAGCUAAUACCGUAUGUGCCCUUUGGGGGAAAGAUUUAUCGGUAAAGGAUCGGCCCGCGUUGGAUUAGCUAGUUGGUGGGGUAAAGGCCUACCAAGGCGACGAUCCAUAGCUGGUCUGAGAGGAUGAUCAGCCACAUUGGGACUGAGACACGGCCCAAACUCCUACGGGAGGCAGCAGUGGGGAAUAUUGGACAAUGGGCGCAAGCCUGAUCCAGCCAUGCCGCGUGUGUGAUGAAGGCCUUAGGGUUGUAAAGCACUUUCACCGGAGAAGAUAAUGACGGUAUCCGGAGAAGAAGCCCCGGCUAACUUCGUGCCAGCCGCCGCCGUAA
rnacentral:rRNA from 1 species